UCAACGAUACUCUGAUAGCUUGCCUCAAUGGAGAUCCCAGUAAGAGUUGUCUGUAUUAUGGUGAAGGUGAGAUAUUCAGAGACAGACUGGAUGUGGACUAUGAGACUGGAUCUCUGAUCAUCACAGACAUCACAACUCAACACACUGGACGUUAUGAAGCCAAUUUCAUCCAAAGCAAGAGCUCAGGAACCAGCCACAGCUUGAACCGAAACAGCAAGUGUGACGGCACAAAAAUCAUCAAGAAAACGAGCAACAUUGGCGACAGCGUAAAAACAUUCAGUGUUUCUGUCACUGCCUCUCUCUCUGGUACUGACAAACCCAACAUAGUAUCAUACAAUGGGGACAAGGAACAAGAGCGUGAAAGCAGUCUGUCUUCAGGUCUUAUAGCUGGAAUAUUUGUUGGGUGUGUUGCUGGUGGCUACAGCUGCUGUUCUUGUGUGAUUUGCUAUCAUCGCAGGACAUCUAACAAGG